AAUUUUACUUUUGUCCACUCACUCUAAGGUUUUCAAAUGUUUUUCCCUAGGCCUUUCGUUUUUAAAUGCCCAAUCUGCAGAGUUUAGGUCGGUACUAGUAGGAGGCGUGGCAUAGUCACCAACAUCACCAUCACUUUUCACCAGUAGGUUACCUGUUUAACCUACAUGUGUAUUUUCUUGCUUCCUCUAGUUUUAGUUGCUUUGACUACCUUGGGGUAUUGUAUAAUAUUUCGGUUGUGUUAAAGCUCAUGAAUCUACUUUAGAAGUAUUUGGUUGAUUGUGUUUGGUUUAUCUUUUGGAUGUUUAAGUGAUGGAUUUGGAGAUGAUUUGAUGUUAUAUUGUAGUGGAUGUGUUUGUGGGGAGUGGAUGGCUCCAAGAGGAGUUGAGGAUGGAUGGUUUGAUAUAGAAGUGGUUAUCUGGAUGUUUCAGGUUAGGGUUGUCCAUUUUCAAGACAGGUUAUGCCGAAUUUUCGGUAAAAUUUUCCUUAGAGGUGGACCCCGCAGGAUUUACUUUGGGUUUCAAGGUGAAAUUCGGGGUGGGUCUUGACAAUUUCCUUCUCUUCAUCAACAAUAGGGGUUACUGUUGCAGUAUCCACCACACCUUCAACAUUUGGUUGAGCACCAGAGGUUACUUCCAUUUGAGCUUCAGCGUCAGACUCCGCUAAAUCGAUUUCCUGUAGGAAGAAACAGUUAGGUGUUUCAAUUAAAACAUGAAAAUCAGUUAAGUGGUUUUCAGUGGCUUAGGGGGCAAAGCACUACAUGAAAUAUCAACUUAGCCAACGGAAUUAAUAAAAUUCCGUCGGCUAAGUGACUCCUCACCGACGGAAGAGGAAUCGUCGUCUAGGACACCACAUCCGUCGUCUAAGAUAUCUUAGGCGACGGAAAAUAACCAUACACGUCUUCCGUCGACCAGGGUUUACCUAAACGACGAAACACCAUUCGUCAUCCAGGUUCCGUCGGCUUUGUAAACCCUAGGCGACUAAUAUCUUCCGUCGGUAUGAUUUCGUCGGCGUAGAUCUUCUUAAGCGACGGAAAUAGACUGUCGAUAUAGUCCGUCAUCUAACAUUUUCUAGGGCGACUAAUAUUUUUCCGUCAGUAAAUCUAUCUUAGACGACGAAUAAUGUUCCGUCGUCCGAAAUUUUCUUGGGCGACGAAGACGUUUCCGUCGGUUAAGAUCGACUUGGGAGACGAAUAUUCUUUUCUUAGGCGACGAAUUGUUCUGUCGCCUAAGAUUUUGAAUUAUUGCCUGACACAAAGCAGAACAAAUAUUUUUUCCGAAGCCUUUUUUCUUAGGCAACGGAAUACUCCGUCAGCUAGGUUUACACAUCAUCCAUUUAUACACCUUUCGCCCAGAAGAGAACGCAGAAGAAAGACAUGGUCUAGCUCCCCUCCCCCUCAUCGGAAUAUUCAUCCAAUCCAAAUCUAGUUUUGGAAGCUUUUCUUCAUGAAGUCGAUCGAUCUUUAAGAGCUGCGCGCCUCGAUCUCGAUCUCGAUCUCUUAGCUAAUUGGUAUAUAUGUAACUACUUUAAUUAAUUUAUCUACUUUCUUCUUUUAGGCAUAUUUUUCUGCGAACUUUCGGCGACUUGCCGGUCCAAUUUUGAUGGAUUGUUGCUUACUUCUAUGCUUAAUAUAAUUACUGGAUAUGUGUGUAUAAUAUGUUUGUACGUACGUAUAAUAUUAUAUAUGCAUGAAAACUAUAUAAUAUUAUGUUUGUAUAUAUAUCUAACUUUUGUGUGUAUAAUUUUUAAAGAUAUAUAUANN
rnacentral:lncRNA from 1 species